rnacentral:rRNA from 1 species
GACGAACGCUGGCGGCGUGCUUAAUACAUGCCAGUCGAACGGAAAGGCCUGCUUUCCGUUGUGGUUUGCGGGUGCUCGAGUGGCGAAGUGGUGAGUAACACGUGUGUGAUCUGCCCCCGACUUGGGUAUAAGCCUGGGUGAUUGGGCCUAAUACUCGCUUGGACUGCAGGGUGGUGCCUGUGGUGGAAAACGAUCUUCUAGUAGAUGGGGAUGAGCUUGCGGCCUAUCAGCUUGUUGGUGGGGUAAUGGCCUACCAAGGCGUCGACGGGUAGCCGGCGUGGGAGGGUGGACGGGCACAUUGGGACUGAGAUACGGCCCAGACUCGUACGGGAGGCAGCAGUGGGGAGUAUUGCACAAUGGGCGGAAGCCUGAUGCAGCGACGCCGCGUGGGGGAUGACGGCCUUCGGGUUGUAAACUCCUUUGGACCGCGAGGAAGCCACCUGGUUGGAAGGGUGGUGACGGUAGUGGUAGAAGAAGCACCGGCUAACUACGUG